rnacentral:lncRNA from 1 species
AUAAAGAAAUAGUUUUAAGGGAGGACUUCAAAGAGUAUUUUGCCAAAUUUGGUAAAGUGCGGGUAAAUUGAUUUUUGGUUGUCCUUUUUCUUUACAAUUGGUCGUGGAGCUUCUUGGAUUAAACUUGUAAAGAGUAGUAUUGGAAAGCCUCAUUUUUGUAAGAUGCUCUGGUAUUUCCGAGUAGAAGAAAGCAAAGCCAACAAUGGUCGUUAGAAAUUAUUAGUACUCUACAAAAUUUGUAACACAUCAUAUUAAUUGGGAACUCAAAUCUUGGUUGCAAAAUUUAGAUCUGUGCUAUAAAUGCAGGCAAUACAAAAGGUAGGAAGACCAUACGAAGACCAAUACAAAUAGGAGGAUGCAUGAGCUUCAGAUAUGAUUGAAUUCAGUCUGAAGAUGGAGACUUGAAGGAGGAAUUAGUGGAGAAUGGGAAGGUGGAUAGAACAUGGGAACCAAUCAAAUACGUGUAGGUAUGACAUGGUGCUUUUUUUAAUCUCUUGCGGAUGUCAAUAUUUUUCUACAGUUACAUAUAUAAAACUGAAUCACAAAGGAUUUUAUUUUUGAUUAGGUACACCAUAGAAUAGUCUCACAUCUUGGUUUAUUUAUUACCCUGUUUAAAUAUCAACCAACAUGCUUGUCAAAUUUGUAAUUUAUAAUUUGUUAUUUGCUUGCCUCAAGGCAAUAUUCUCCCAAGAUAUAUAUCUCUCUGUGUGUGUGUGUGUACUUGGACAGAAACACUUCCCAUACCCGAGGUCUCAGUUAAUGUACUGCUGUUGAAUUCUUCUGUCACUUUUGAUACAAAGCUAUAGCUAUACUUUCAUUUGCCAAGAAGAUAAAAUAGGUUAAAUACUGUGAUUUAGUUACUUUCAGAUUUUGGUAUAUUUUGAGAAGUGCUCCACAAAUAUGAAUGAAAGGAGCUUGUAUUUGAGGUAAUAGUCUAGGAAGUUUUAUUUAAGAUAUCAUCUGUGUCAAUGAAAAAUAGUACUAGACGUGUGAAUAAAGGCCACCUAUGACAUACAAAGUACUGUAAUAAAAUCGGAGGGCUGGGGAAGUGUUGGACUGGAGCCUCGCCCCCAUGCGGUAUGCUCUGUCCAAGUACGUGCUCCUGUUCGCCACAUCUGCAUACUGGAUGAAACCUGCGUGCUAAUUGCGUAUUAUGUGCAAGUCAGUAUUGAACGCUCUGUAUUAUUGUUCCAGAGAAGUAAGUUUCAACAGUUUCCGUGACAUUUCAUGUAUGUUCCAUGCAGUAGUCUAGGUGGGAAUUAUAUUGAUGAUUUCAUUUUACCUUCAUAUCUGCUGAAUUUUCUUACCAAACACAAAAGCUUUGUGUCUUGAGGUGUUGAUAGAAGUGAACAUAAUUCAUGAUACAAUCCUGAUACUCUGAAAAUAUUUUUAUGGUUCAGUAUUCCUACGAGGGGAGUGAGUAUGAGUGGAUCAACACGUGGAGCAGCUGCUGCCUAUGAGGCGAGUGAGUGGAGACGGCCUGAUCUGUGCAGCGGAGGGGCUAUAGAAGCUCGAACGAAAGAUUCGUCGCCAGCAUCGGAGCAAUUUAUUGGGCAGAUCGAUACUAAAGCUCAUGCAUGGACGUGAAGGCAUGUCUUUAUUAAGUUCAAUCUUUGGAAACUUGGCAUGUGACGCUGUGUAAAAAUAGAAGAUGCUAGAAAAUUGUCUCUGGCCAAUUUCGUAUGUAGCUGUGAGCAUUGCUAAUUUUUGUCAACAUGAAUGAUAUUUGGACUAUUUAUAUAGCUACCAUGUGCUGAACAAAUUGUCUGAUUAAUGUAACCCUCCCGAAUAGAUUGGUGUGUGUGCCAUGUCAUUUGGUCUGCGUUACACUAACAGAAUCAUUUUGUCAAUGCCCGGUCCAUUAAUACUCUUUCAAAAUUUUG